CAGCCGCCGCGGUAAUACCAGCGCCACGAGUAGCAACCGUAUUUAUUGGGUCUAAAGCGUCCGUAGCCGGUCGAUUAAGUCUCUUGUGAAAUUAUUGGGCUUAACCCAAUAGCGUGCUUGAGAUACUGGUCGACUCGGGACUGGGAGGAGUCAGAGGUAUGCUAAGGGGAGCGGUAAAAUGCUAUAAUCCUUGGUAGACCACCUGUGGCGAAGGCGUCUGACUAGAACAGAUCCGACGGUGAGGGACGAAAGUCAGGGGAGCAAUCCGGAUUAGAUACGUGUAGAAUUCUAAAAAAUUUCCUUUAAUAGGUUUGUAGACUUGUUCUUAAUACUACAUCUACAAGUUGAAAAUGGAAAUAAUGAUUUGCUAUACGCUAACUACCCGAGUAGUCCUGACCGUAAACUCUGUGAGCUAGGUGUUGCAUAUUCUUCGUGAAUGUGCAGUGUCGUAAUGAAGAUGUUAAGCUCACCACCUGGGAAGUAUGGUCGCAAGGCUGAAACUUAAAGGAAUUGGCGGGGGAGCACCACAAGGGGUGCGGCGUGCGGUUUAAUCUAACUCAACGCAGAAAAUCUCACCAGAAGCGACGGCAGAAUGAAGGUCAGUCUGAAUGGCUUACCCAACGAGCCGAGAGGUAGUGCAUGGCCGCCGUCAGCUCGUGCCGUAAGGUGUCUUGUUAAGUCAAGCAACGAGCGAGACCUGUAUUUACAAUUGCUAACGAGCAGUAAUGUGAUCGAGCACAUUGUAUGGACUGCUCUCGAAAGGGAGAGGAAGGUGCAGGCUACGGUAGGUCUGUAUGCUCCGAAUCUUCUGGGCUACACGCGCGCAACAAUGGUAAUGACAAUAGGAUGCAACUCCGAAAGGAGGAGCUAAUCCCCGAAACAUUAUCUUAGUCCGGAUUGUGGGCUGUAAUUCGCCCACAUGACGCUGGAAUCCCUAGUAAUCGGAGUUCAACAUACUCCGGUGAAUAUGUCCCUGCUCCUUGCACACACCGCCCGUCAAACCACCCGAGUAGGGUCUAGAUGAGGACUUAUUUUUAAUAAGCUCGAAUCUAGGCUUUGCGAGGAGGGUUAAGUCGUAACAAGGUAGCCGUA
rnacentral:rRNA from 1 species